UUUUUUUUAUUAUUGUUAUUUUUUUAUUUUUCAUCUCACUUUCAAUCACAGCAAUCCUUGUAUGCCAGUCUCUUAUGUUUAUGCUACUGUGGCUGCUCUAAAAAAUUGCAUCUUGUCCAUGCUCGUCUUGUGGAUGCAUGGGAUUGGAACAUAUUUUAUAAAAUAGCUUAUAUUCUUGCAGCUCUCCCAAAUUUGCCUUGUUCAGAUCAAUGACAGCACAAAGCCACAUGCAAAUCUGUUAUGCAAAUUGUCUGAGAAUUAAGGAAUGGAUGAAUGUAGAAAUGGACAGCGUUGCCCAUCCUGUGCAAUUCUUUAUGCUUGUUAAAUAGAUCUUGUUGGAUGCUCACCCACGAGAGCUUUCUUUUUUAGCACUACAAUCAGUCUUGCCUUAGAAAAUCCAAUUCCCUGAAUCAAUAUCAAGUAUCUUGUACCUCAAAUAUACAAGGACUAGUACAAAUCUUUGAAUUGAAACAAGUGAAAGAUGAUUCGCCACAGCCGUCAUUCCAAACAAAUGAAGUUGCAUAACUCUUGUGCUCAUAUAUUUGUGACAACUAAUUGGCAUCUCAUUUUCAAUCACAACUCUUAUGGGUCUGUCCUUUGUGCUUCCAUCGUUUCUUUGUAUUUUUCUUUUAAAUACACAGGACAAAGCCAUUUACAGUGUGAAUGGGCAAGCGUGCAAAGGCCAUCAGUAGCUAAAUUUAGCUUCACUUAUUGAUGGAUGUUAUGGGUCUUAAAUCAGUGCACUGAGGGCUUAGGCAUCUAGAAAAAGAAUUAAGGAAUGGAUGAAAUAUACAGAUGUCCAUCCUGUGGAAUUCUCAAUGUUUGUUAAAUAAAUCUUGUUGAUUGCUCACCCAUGAGGAGGAGAUGUGAUUGCU
rnacentral:misc_RNA from 1 species